rnacentral:rRNA from 1 species
UGGGGAAUAUUGGACAAUGGGCGCAAGCCUGAUCCAGCCAUGCCGCGUGAGUGAUGAAGGCCCUAGGGUUGUAAAGCUCUUUCACCGGUGAAGAUAAUGACGGUAACCGUAGAAGAAGCCCCGGCUAACUUCGUGCCAGCACCCGCGGUAAUACGAAGGGGGCUAGCGUUGUUCGGAUUUACGGGGCGUAAAGCGCACGUAGGCGGACUUUUAAGUCAGGGGUGAAAUCCCGGGGCUCAACCCCGGAACUGCCUUUGAUACUGGAAGUCUUGAGUAUGGUAGAGGUGAGUGGAAUUCCGAGUGUAGAGGUGAAAUUCGUAGAUAUUCGGAGGAACACCAGUGGCGAAGGCGGCUCACUGGACAAUUACUGACGCUGAGGUGCGAAAGCGUGGGGAGCAAACAGG